GUUGAGAAAUGUCUGACUUUGAAGUGCUUCUCCCUAUGGAGUCAGAGAGAAGGUGUGUGUUUUAUCUGUGAUCUAUGAGGCUAGGGAGAAUACAGAGAGGAAGAAGGCGUUGUGAAACUUCUUCCUAGUCAGAACCAUCGUGAUAUAUUAGAUACAAACAAAAAAACAAACAGAACAACAACAACAUUGUAACGAGAAUUCUAUGAAGAGUUUGUGAGGAGCUGGGAAGCACAACGUAUUUUUCUAAGAUUAUUUCCUGCAAUUAUUGAAGAGAGGACAAAGAAAAAGAACUAAUCUAGUUUAUUUCUAAGAGACUGAAUAAAACUCUUAUCUUGAGGAGAAAUGUGAAGAUUUUUUUUAGAGGCUUUAAUCAGUAUCUGCAAUGGACGGAAUGAUAGGAGACUGAAUUUGCAUACAAGAAGAGAUGAAUCAUCCACUGAUUGAGGGUUUGAGGUGGCUGUCAACUCUUGCAUAGCCAGAAUAUUGUAAAUAGUUUUAUAUAUAUGUCUUUGCUGAAUUAUUGCUGUCCUUUAUUCGAUGAGAGAGUUGAAGUCAAAGAGAUUGAGUGACCUGGGCAAGGUCAUACACUGCUUAAGGGACAAAACUAGGCCUUGCGCUGAAGUCUUCCCGAUUCUCAAGGAAUGAGUAUUUCUCCAUCCACUAAAGAUCUAAAGUGGUCUAUAACUUAGUAAAUAAAUCUUGAAGAAUUGCCUGAGAUGCGUGGAGGGUGAUUCAUCAGAGGUUGUUAUCAAGCAGAGGAAAGAGAGACCCACCAGCCCUUGAAAUAUGACCUCACAAGGCAGAAUAAACAGUGCUAAGCUGGGGAAGCAAAUGGAGCAGACACUGGCAAAGGACAUGAGAAAAAUCAUUGCAAUUUGCCUCAGAUGGGAUCAUGUUAGCCCCGACCAUUUGAACAGACGUGUAGAGCAAGGCAGGAGACAGAGAUCCGGUGAGGUCAGUGGUGGUCAAAGAAAGGGCAGAGGGCAGGGAGCAGGCCCUAAAGAAGCAGCAUCUAUCCCAAGCAGGCUAAGCCAGCUUUUCCUAUGGAAUUGAAGAUUUGAUUGACUUAGGGGAUUAAAUCUUGGGGCCAUUGAUGUAGCUUCCUCAUAAGUAAAAACAUCUAGCCUACAUUGAGGCAGAAAUGGAUCCUGCUCAGGUCAGAUUGGUGCAAGAGAGUGGCCAACAAGGAAGAUGGGCUGAACUGAAAUUGACGAGUAGCUCCACUGUAUUCUUACUAUCUUUUCCAUGAUUUGGCCAAGUAAAUUUCCAUUUGUUAACUA